GUCGUGCAAGCAAGUGGAACCCUCGUCCAAGGAGUAGCACGACUCUCCAUGCAACUCAAGUCGUUGGAGGAGUCACAUAACCCACUGGAUGGUGGAGAGUUAUGAGACUUGAGGACCGAUUUGGGAGAUCUUCAAGGUGUUGAUUGGAGGUUUGUAAGCAUUAUUUGGAGCUUGAAGGUUGGGAUCUUCAAAUUCUACAUCAGAAGACCUGGGGUUUGCUUUAAUUCUAGAUUCUAUGCAUAAAUUUAGUAACGUGAGCUCUAGUUGCUUUAUUAAAACUAUAUACAUGUCAAAUUGUCCCUAUUCGAGUUUUGGAACCUUGGUUGUUAUGUUGUCUUGCAAGAUUUGUUGACC